CACGACACAACCUUGUUGGUGCCGCGACUUGGACGACAAGCCACUAGUUCCCUUCACUUCAAUGUUUGGCUUGGAGUCACAACCUCGAGGGCUUAGAGUCUUGAAUUUGAGGCUUAGUGUUGCGACACCCUAUACUAAAUGUUACGACCUCCAAAGUAGACUACUUUAGGUUAAGUUUUGGUGAAGUUCAACUUCUUUGAGGUGAUGGAAGGUUAGCGUUGCGACACAUAGGCGUCCAUGUCAUGACGAGGAUGGAAGGUCAAUUUCAUUAGACCUAAGCUUUGGUGUUGCGACAACCAUAGCAAUUGGCUUCAUAGAGGGCUCAAGGGUCACAUGGUGUCGUGAC
rnacentral:lncRNA from 1 species